rnacentral:rRNA from 1 species
CACGCCGUAAACGAUGGAUACUAGCUGUUGGAGGUAUCGACCCCUUCAGUAGCGAAGCUAACGCGUUAAGUAUCCCGCCUGUGGAGUACGGCCGCAAGGCUAAAACAUAAAGGAAUUGACGGGGACCCGCACAAGCGGUGGAUCAUGUUCUUUAAUUCGAUGCUAAACGAAGAACCUUACCAGGACUUGACAUCCUUGGAAGCACUACGAAAGUAGCGUGUGCCUUUUGGAACCAAGUGACAGGUGU